AUAAGAUUAUAAAAGCAGAACAUGAACACAACGCCGUUCUUUUGAACUAAAUUAAAUGGAACUUGACAGAGUCGAACUGAAUUGAAAUAAAUGAAGCUGAACCAAACUGAACUAUAAUGUACUGAAUGGAGCUGAAUUAUACUAAACUGAAUGCAACUAAAAUUAAUCCAAAAAACAGGGCCUAAAGCCCGAAAAGAGUCCACAUGUUGGGCGCAAAAGUCUUCUCUGUUAGCAAACGAAGCCGUUACUAAUUCCCGCCCUCAAAUAAAUCCCCAUAUAAAAUUAUAAACCUUUCAAGGGAUUCGACAUUUCCAAAUCCUCUCUCCUUCCGUUGCCAAAUACGGGGUACUUCACUCUUACAGCUCCCUCACUCUUUCUCUCUCCUCUUCCAUUGAACCUUAAAGCUUCAAUUUCACAUACAAUUCAGAAAAUCGUCGAUUAUUUUCACUAGAUGAAGCUGAAGAUCAACAAAGCUUGCGAUCUCAAUUCCAUAUCUGUUCUUCCUCCUCACACCAGGAGAUCGAGUAUGAUGCAGCAACCGAGGUCGCAGCCGUCGCAGCAGUCGUUCUCUCAAGGAUUUUCGUCACAGCAGAAUGGAAUUUUCUCUCAAAUCUCUCAGAACUCCAUUGACGUGAUCCACGCUGACAAUCAGAGAUUGAGCUCACAAGAUAAGGAAAACUCUGUAAAAAGGCUUUCCUACCUUGCCCCCGCAUCUUACCCUCGGGAAGAGAGCCAGAUGCCAAUCUCCAGAACUUCCUCCAGUUUAACUCGUAGAUGGAACUCUUCUACUGGACCAGAAAAUAAAGGUCAGCUAAGUGAUGAACUUGAACACAAGAUUGCUAUGAUGGAUACAUCCCUAAACAAGUUAGGGAUGAUCUUAGAUUCUGUACAGGCUGAUAUACUGCAAGUAAACAAAGGAACAAAAGAGCUUUCUCUUGAAGUGGAAGGCAUACGCCAGAAGUCAAUCUGUCAUCAUGAUUCCCUACAUCUGCUGAAUCGAACACAAGAAGAGACGAAAGCUACCCUGGAAUCAAUUAGCAAUCAACUGCUUACUAUUAUACAGAAGGACAAGAGCCAAGAGAUUCUCUUGGCAGUUUUGAAAUUGCAGGAGCAGAAUGACAUUAAUUAUCAGAAUAUUCAGAAACAUAAUGAUGAGCUUCCCAAAUAUAUAUCUGGAGUUACUCGAGAUCUGAAGGAAUGUGAACAUUCCCGUUUUAAGGAGAUUAUGUGCAGCAUACAAACCUUACAUAAGAGUGCGCCCCUUACCAUUCUUCGGCCAAAGGUUUCUGCUGCUGGUUCUUCGUUACCGAAACCAUUCACAAUGAGGGAAGCUGAGCCCACAAAAGUAUCUAAACCGGCACAUCUUGUUCAAAAGAUAGAAAUUGGAAGGUGGACCACUGUUAAAGCAGAGGAAACUGCUUUCUCAAAUCAACAUGGACAAAAUCCGAAACAAAGAAGACCUCCCCUGGAUAAGAAACAGAAAGUUAUUAUCGAUUUAGAUAACGAGACUGAUGAAGAUCUUUCUUGCUUAAUAGUUGAAAAGAAAUCAGAUAAUAAUUUUAUGGACGAAUUGGAGCUAGAUACUGCAGAAAUCCUUAGAAAAGCCAGAAGAAGAAAGAGAAAACAAGAUUGUAAAAGAUCAUUCCUAACUCAUAGACAGUGAAGCAAUUGUGAAUUCCGGGAAGCUAAUUUCGUAUACUCAUUCCAUUACCUUCGAGAAAUAACUCAUCAUACUUAACCACAACCUCGUUGAUAAAUGUACUUCUUCUUUCAGGUCCUCAUUAGCCAACUCUCUGUCCUACACAUUUGUGGUGCUACUCCAUUACAUUGACAAAGUACCCAUGUAUAUGCCUAAAGAUAUGUUAAAACAACAGGAGACUUGAUGUUAUCAGACAAAUUUUAUACUAAGUUGCAGCGUACAAGAGAAAGGAUCAACUCAAGCUUCAGUUUUGGCGUUCUAAGGAACAUACAUGCUGCAAGAUCGAUCCACUGGAGUCAAAGUAAUAUUUUGCAUAUAGCUGAUUCUAGGUAUUAUUCAAACUCCUCUUUCUUGAUGGUUAUUAGGGGUUUGAAAAUGCCCAUUAUAUUUUUCUUUUGUUACUUAUUUUGAUAUUAUUGUAAGAAAGCCAAACAAUGAUGAAUUAUCUUUGAUAAGGUAAAUCUAGAUUAUCUUCUUUA